rnacentral:rRNA from 1 species
UACGGAGGGUGCAAGCGUUGUUCGGAAUCAUUGGGCGUAAAGCGCACGUAGGCGGAUUUGUAAGUCGAUUGUGAAAGCCCUGGGCUCAACCCGGGACGUGCAGUCGAAACUGCAAGUCUUGAAUGCUCGAGAGGAUGGUGGAAUUCCUGGAGUAGAAGUGAAAUUCGUAGAUAUCAGGAGGAACACCGGAGGCGAAGGCGGCCAUCUGGCGAGACAUUGACGCUAAGGUGCGAAAGCACGGGUAGCAAACAGG